GACGAACGCUGGCGGCGUGCUUAACACAUGCAAGUCGAACGGAAAGGCCCUGCUUUUGUGGGGUGCUCGAGUGGCGAACGGGUGAGUAACACGUGAGUAACCUGCCCUUGACUUUGGGAUAACUUCAGGAAACUGGGGCUAAUACCGGAUAGGAGCUCCUGCUGCAUGGUGGGGGUUGGAAAGUUUCGGCGGUUGGGGAUGGACUCGCGGCUUAUCAGCUUGUUGGUGGGGUAGUGGCUUACCAAGGCUUUGACGGGUAGCCGGCCUGAGAGGGCGACCGGCCACAUUGGGACUGAGAUACGGCCCAGACUCCUACGGGAGGCAGCAGUGGGGAAUAUUGCACGAUGGGCGGAAGCCUGAUGCAGCAACGCCGCGUGCGGGAUGACGGCCUUCGGGUUGUAAACCGCUUUCGCCUGUGACGAAGCGUGAGUGACGGUAAUGGGUAAAGAAGCACCGGCUAACUACGUG
rnacentral:rRNA from 1 species